rnacentral:rRNA from 1 species
UACGUAGGGUGCGAGCGUUAAUCGGAAUUACUGGGCGUAAAGGGUGCGCAGGCGGUUAUAUAAGACAGAUGUGAAAUCCCCGGGCUCAACCUGGGAACUGCGUUUGUGACUGUAUGACUAGAGUACGGUAGAGAGGGGUGGAAUUCCUGGUGUAGCAGUGAAAUGCGUAGAUAUCAAGUGGAACACCAGUGGCGAAGGCGAAUCUCUGGACAUUUCCUGACGCUGAGGCACGAAAGCCAGGGGAGCAAACGGG